rnacentral:rRNA from 1 species
CAGGGCUUGACAUCCACUGAACCUGCCGGAAACGGUGGGGUGCCGCAAGGAGCAGUGAGACAGGUGGUGCAUGGUUGUCGUCAGCUCGUGUCGUGAGAUGUUGGGUUAAGUCCCGCAACGAGCGCAACCCUUGUCGUCAGUUACCAGCAAGUGAAGUUGGGGACUCUGACGAGACAGCCGGGGUAACUCGGAGGAAGGUGGGGACGACGUCAAAUCAUCAUGCUCUUUAUGUCCUGGGCUACAAACGUGCUACAAUGGCCGCAACAAAGGGAUGCGAAGGCGCAAGCCGGAGCGAAACUCGAAAUGCGGUCCCAGUUCAGAUUGAGGGCUGCAACCCGCCCUCAUGAAGAUGGAGUUGCUAGUAAUCGCGAAUCAGCACGUCGCGGUGAAUACGUUCCC